rnacentral:pre_miRNA from 1 species
AGUAGAAUAGCAGGCUUAUCACAGGUUCCUUUAACCCACUGUGAGAUUCUUCUAUUCUACUUU